rnacentral:rRNA from 2 species
GUUUGGCACCUCGAUGUCGGCUCAUCACAUCCUGGGGCUGAAGUAGGUCCCAAGGGUAUGGCUGUUCGCCAUUUAAAGUGGUACGCGAGCUGGGUUUAGAACGUCGUGAGACAGUUCGGUCCCUAUCUGCCGUGGGCGCUGGAGAACUGAGGGGGGCUGCUCCUAGUACGAGAGGACCGGAGUGGACGCAUCACUGGUGUUCGGGUUGUCAUGCCAAUGGCACUGCCCGGUAGCUAAAUGCGGAAGAGAUAAGUGCUGAAAGCAUCUAAGCACGAAACUUGCCCCGAGAUGAGUUCUCCCUGAGACUUAAAGUCUCCUGAAGGAACGUUGAAGACGACGACGUUGAUAGGCCGGGUGUGUAAGCGCAGCGAUGCGUUGAGCUAACCGGUACUAAUGAACCGUGAGGCUUAACCUUAC